ensembl:rRNA 5S_rRNA 5S ribosomal RNA
GUCUAUGGCCAUACCACCCUGAACAUGCCCGAUCUCGUCUGAUCUCAGAAGCUAAGCAGGGUCGGCGCUGGUUAGUACUUGGAUGGGAGACACCUGCAGACCUGUUUCACUGCCU